UACGUAGGGUGCAAGCGUUAAUCGGAAUUACUGGGCGUAAAGCGUGCGCAGGCGGUUGUUCAAGUCAGAAGUGAAAUCCCCGGGCUUAACCUGGGAAUUGCAUUUGUGACUGCAUCGCUGGAGUGCGGCAGAGGGGGAUGGAAUUCCGCGUGUAGCAGUGAAAUGCGUAGAUAUGCGGAGGAACACCGAUGGCGAAGGCAAUCCCCUGGGCCUGCACUGACGCUCAUGCACGAAAGCGUGGGGAGCAAACAGG
rnacentral:rRNA from 1 species